CCACCCCAUAACCCCCCAUAACCCCUUGGCCCCAUAACCUUCCACCCCAUAACAACCCCAUAACCCCUUGGCCCCAUAACCCCUUGGCCCCAACCCCCCCUCCCAUAACCCCUUGGCCCCAUAACCUUCCACCCCAUAACCAUGGGAGCUGUGGGGCCCGGGGGGGUCCUCAUCUUCAUCAUCCUCAUCAUCAGCCCCGGUAAUGGGGUCGGGGGUUCUUAUAGGGUUGGGGGUCCUUAUGGGGUCAGGGGUCCUUUGGGGUCCAUUGGGGUUCUUAUGGGGUUUGGGAUCCUUUAUGGGGUCCGGGGUCCUUUGGGGUGGGAGGUUCUUAUGGGGUUGGGGGUCCUUUAUGGGGUCCAUUGGGGUUCUUAUGGGGUUGGGGGUCCUUUGAGGUCCAUUGGGGUUCUUAUGGGGUCAGGGGUCCUUAUGGGGUCAGAGGUCCUCAUGGGGUGGGAGGUUCUUAUGGGGUUGGGGGUCCUUUAUGGGGUCAGAGGGCCUCAUGGGGUGGGAGGUUCUUAUGGGGUUGGGGGUCCCUUAUGGGACUUGGGGUUCUUAUAGGGUCGGGGGUCGCUGUGGUGGAAGUGAGCCCAUUGGGUCCCUAUGGGGUUGGGGUUCUUUUGGGGAUGGGGUCUUUGUUGGGACCCUAUGGGGUGGGGAGUCCCUAUGGGGUCGGAUCCCAUUGUGGUGGGGGUCCCAUUGGGGUCUCUAUGGGGUCCCUAUGGAGUCGGGGUCUCUAUGGGGGUCCUAUUGCGAUCCCUAUAGGUUGGGGGUCUCUAUGGGGUUCCUAUGAGGUCCCUAUGGAGUCUCUAUGGGGUGGGGGUCCCUAUGGGAUCAGAUCCCAUUGUGUGUGGGGUCCCUAUGGGGUCCCUAUAGCGUCUCCACGGGGUCCCUAUGGGGUGGGAGUCCAUUUCAGGUCCCUAUGGGGUUGGGGUCUCUAUGGGGUGGCUAUGGGGCGGCUAUGGGGUGUCUAUGGGGCAGCUAUGGGGUCCCUAUGGGGCAGCUAUGGGGCAGCUAUGGGGCAGCUAUGGGGUUCCUAUGGGG
ensembl:lncRNA